CCUCCUCCUUCUUCUUCUUCUUCUUCUACCAUUUUCGUCCACUUAGAGAUCACCUUACGGAUUAUAGGAACACCUCAUCUUUUGAGGUACAAUUCACUCAUUGUUUUCAUAUGUUUCAAUUCUCAUCUUGAUUAUAAAAAUCACCGUCUUUGAUAUCAAUCUACCCAUGAGGUUGUAAUUUCUGAAUCAGACUCCAGGCUACAUCCCAAACGUAAAUAGUACUAGGUGAAGAUCCGUGUUAAAGUAGCGGAAAAGUAUCUUAUUUGAUCUCUUUCAGUGGGUCUGAAAUGGCUAGGUCUUCUGCAUCAUUCUGGAUAUCAGGGGGUGAAUUGAUUAAGGUAAAUCCCCAGAAAGUAUUUACUUAGUCUAGGUUGAGUACCAUCUACAUAAAUUGGUAAAAUAUUCUCCUCACAUAUGAAAUAUCGAUGGGUCCUUUUGGUUCUUUUUUGAAUUAGAUUCAAUUUAAACACCUGUUUCACCAUCAAUCGAUCUUCCCCAGUUUAGUUGCAAGUCAUUUUUGGUUAUAUUAGUUUCUAGGGCUUGAGUUACUUGGGUUUUGAUUGUUUUUCUUGAUAAAACUAUGGGCCCAUUGUUUUCUUUGGGGAGCAAUACAAGAACGACAUCAGGAAACAAUACAAUAAGAAUUCAGGUUCUAAAUGGCGUCCAUAAGAAUUGGUGUGUUUUCAUAUUGUCGGCAGGACCCAAUGCAGUUAAAGCAACAGAAAGAACAUAAACAAAAACAUCAACCAAAUGGUGGAGUAAUUUUAUUUAUUUCCCUUACGUAUCCUUAUUAUAAUUCUAAUUUUCUGGACAUAUGAUGGUAAAAAAUCUGCUAUUUUUUUCGUCAUACAAUCAACUUCCAAAUGCCGUGUUCACUUUCGCCUACUUUCUGAUUCCAUCAAAUAGACUUUACUUUCUGAUUCCAUCAAAUAGACUUUAUGAUGCAGGGUAAGCAGCAGAAACCAAAUUUGCUCUUUCAGGAUAUCCACUCUCCUGUCCUCCCCAUUGGAUAGUCUCGUCAUCCUCGACAAUCUAAUCAACACUGCCGCCCUUAUCGAUGUAGUUGAGCCAGGAACAACGAGAGAGUAAUUGAGACGCCUACGUCAACUAGAGAAUGUCCCUGUUUCCUUGAGGAGGUAGGAAAUGUCAUUCUUCGUGUAUCACUUAUUUUCUAUUUUUCCUAUGUUUACUAAGUGUAUCAUACUUUGUAUUUUUUGUUGCUCUAUUAGAUAGCUUUUAUCUCUCAAAUUUUGAUUGUCACAAUUCUGAAUCCAAUAGAGAUCCAUUUGAAACCCAUCUUAUGAAACUGAGCUUUUCAGAAUAAACUGGUGUACGAUAAAUACUAAUUUAGUGGAUUAAUAGUUCGUGUUGAUGUUAAAUACUCACAAACUGAAAUCGUUUUCAUAGAACUUAAAAAGUUAAGUCGAUUUCUCUUCUUA